AAGGCCCGGCAGGUGCUGCCCUCCCUCCCCCGCCGCGUCCCCCGCCUGCGCCUUCCACCGGGGCGCGGCCCGGGCUCUGCGGGAGCGGCGCCCCGGAGCUUCCUUAGGCGGUCCGGGUCGAGCAGCCCCGCUCCGGACAGGCAGCGGUGGCACAAGGACCUUCCCGUGCCCGGCCAGGACGGCCUUUGCCGUUUGCCUUCCCAGAUCUGCCCGCACGCUCCUCUAUUUUCCUUCCACCUACAGCUUCUGGAUACCUCACUUCAGAUACCUUUAUUCCAGAUACUCUGGUCGCAUAAAAAUGCGCAUUGUGAAAUAUCUCCUCGUGUAAUUGAAAAUAAAUAUAUUUGAGAACUCUGCUAUCCGUUCAGAGACGUGCCGCACGCCCAUAGAGCAAAAUAGGAAACCUGACCGGGAUUAAAAAGCCCAAAUGCAAAAAACCCAAACAACCUCCCUCACAACCAUGGCUACAAAAAAUAUAUUGUGCUGCUGCUGUCCCUCCCUUGCCGGGUUUCCUUGUUUUGUCCUUUGUUGUUGGAGGUAAUACAGAAGGCAAAGGAGUAAUUUCACUCAGAUGUGCUUCACUGAAAACAGAGGGAACCAAGGGAGCCUACCUUUCUCUUAACUUGGGAACCCCUCGCUAGUGUGGUUGGUAGGAGGUGGCAGUCCUUUCUUCCAUAACUAAGUUAAAAUCUCAAGGCUCAAGCUAAAACCCUGUGGCUCAAAUGACUUUUUUUCUGCUAAAUCUCUGUUGAAAUAACUGCUGUAUCUAAGAAUAUUCUGACGAUUUGGAUGUAAACGCCUCACAGAGAGGAUCGGAGCUUCACAUCUUCAGAUCUGAAUAAAUCCAGAGGUAAAGGUACAGCAUCUGCAGUCAAGUCAACAAAACAGUGCCUUAAGCUGACUGAGGAGUUAUAUGCUGAGCAAAUAGCUAAGUGGCAUAAAGGUGAGGGAAUCUUCCCUCUUGGGAGGUCAUAUUCCGCUGACCAAGCGCACAGGCUGGAGAAACUCAGAGCAGCCUUCAGCUGUGACAACUGAUGAAGAAGAAACCUCUGUCCAUGGCUUCCAGAAGAAGAAAAACUACAUCCAACUUCUGACUCUCUGUAAGGUUUCAUGUUACCAUUCCUGUAUUUUUCAGUUCCUUCUGUCCUCUCCAUUUUUUUACCAAAUGACCUCCUGUUUGCCCUCUUAUUCCUCAGAAACUUCAGCUUCCUGCCACUCUGUGUGAAGUGCCGAGCGUUUAACUUGUCGUCAUACAAAUGUGCUGUAUAUACACACUAUACAUGGAUGCAUACACAGCAAACACUUGUCAGUAUGCAGCUGUGUAUCAGAGAAGUGCAUUGGCCUCUAGGGGAUUCCAGAGUUUUAUUUUAGUAGGAAGUAACAAAUAUGUAUCACAAACACACAUGUUGCUGGGCAUCUUUUGAAUUGAUAGGGCACCUGGAGUGGCUUUGGAUCAGCUGCGUUCGAAAAUGGCUGCCAGUUAGAGGGGAAAACAACUCGGCACACACUUUCUGGCUUUAUGUUCUUCAAGAUUUACCUGGGCAUAACACUUUCAUGUGCUAGUUCUGUGGAAGAAGUGUUUUUUCCGUUACUAAUGCUCCCUAUUUAUUCUUUUGUGUGGAAAACCUCAAUCUAGUCCGCCACAGGACAGGUGAUCGUACCGUGAACAAGGUUAAGAUCAGGCAGGAAGAAUGGUAUGCUGCUGCUCUUAAAUUUCAAAGUGAGUAAUAAAUUAUCAAGAUUCCUUUUGUAUUUUUUGUUCCUGGAAAUUGCUUGAAUCUCAGCCCUGCUCCCCAAGAACUGUAAUGAUGUAGUUACUUUUCUCCAUCCACUAAUUUUUGGUAUACCUGUGUUCUGCUAGGCUGGCCAGCUGGAACCAGAGAAAUUAAAUCUGUUAUACCAGCAUUACAGAGUCAGUUAUGUAUUUCCUUCUUUGUGCAUACGACACCUCUUAUGAUUUCUACACAGAUUCAAAUGAUGCAGCAUAUCAAGAAUGAGCUUCCUUUAACUCGAGGUUAAUUAGGACAUUUCACAAGAAAUCAGAGACACUUGUAUAUUGCCAUGUCAAAGAUUUUGCUUACAGAACUUGGUAGAAAGAUCAGGUAAGUAACAGACUUUUACUAUUUGCAAAUAUUUAUGUUGAAAAAUACUGGAAGUUACUGGCAUUUGUAUAAAAAGAGACUCUUUAAAAUACUGUCACUUAUAUCAGUGGUCAACACUGCUGUUUAAGGCCAGAGGGAAGAUUAAAUCUAGAAAGUAUUCUGAAGAUCUGGUAUGAAAAUGGAUAUUCAGCAAAUUAAACCCCCCAAUUAUGAUACUAGUAAAUCCCCGCAUAUACCUCUAGAAGAAUUUUCUGGAUUUUUUUUCUCCAGUAUUAGUCAAUGCUUACAUAGUCUUUUGAAGAUAAAGAGUUCUUCAGAAUAAGAGCUAAUUAUAAUUAAUACUAGAAAUAAUUAGUCCAAGUGGUUUUUGCAAACAAGACCUCCGUUUUCUUAAUCACUGUCAUCAAAAAUGACUGGUACUUCAGGAUUUUAUUUUUUUAACUCAUGAACAUAGGAAAAUUAUUUCUAC